ACGGGGGCCCGCACAAGCGGUGGAGCAUGUGGUUUAAUUCGAUGCAACGCGAAGAACCUUACCUGGUCUUGACAUCCACGGAAGUUUUCAGAGAUGAGAAUGUGCCUUCGGGAACCGUGAGACAGGUGCUGCAUGGCUGUCGUCAGCUCGUGUUGUGAAAUGUUGGGUUAAGUCCCGCAACGAGCGCAACCCUUAUCCUUUGUUGCCAGCGGUCCGGCCGGGAACUCAAAGGAGACUGCCAGUGAUAAACUGGAGGAAGGUGGGGAUGACGUCAAGUCAUCAUGGCCCUUACGACCAGGGCUACACACGUGCUACAAUGGCGCAUACAAAGAGAAGCGACCUCGCGAGAGCAAGCGGACCUCAUAAAGUGCGUCGUAGUCCGGAUUGGAGUCUGCAACUCGACUCCAUGAAGUCGGAAUCGCUAGUAAUCGUGGAUCAGAAUGCCACGGUGAAUACGUUCCCGGGCCUUGUACACACCGCCCGUCACACCAUGGGAGUGGGUUGCAAAAGAAGUAGGUAGCUUAACCUUCGGGAGGGCGCUUACCACUUUGUGAUUCAUGACUGGGGUGAAGUCGUAACAAGGUAACCGUAGGGGAACCUGCGGUUGGAUCACCUCCUUACCUUAAAGAAGC
rnacentral:rRNA from 2 species